AACGAACGCUGGCGGCAUGCCUAACACAUGCAAGUCGAACGAGACCUUCGGGUCUAGUGGCGCACGGGUGCGUAACGCGUGGGAACCUGCCCUUAGGUUCGGAAUAACUCCCCGAAAGGGGUGCUAAUACCGGAUAAUGUCUUCGGACCAAAGAUUUAUCGCCUUUGGAUGGGCCCGCGUUGGAUUAGCUAGUUGGUAGGGUAAAAGCCUACCAAGGCGACGAUCCAUAGCUGGUCUGAGAGGAUGAUCAGCCACACUGGGACUGAGACACGGCCCAGACUCCUACGGGAGGCAGCAGUGGGGAAUAUUGGACAAUGGGCGAAAGCAUGAUCCAGCAAGGCCGCGUGAGUGAUGAAGGCCUUAGGGUUGUAAAGCGCUUUUACCCGGGAUGAUAAUGACAGUACCGGGAGAAUAAGCUCCGGCUAACUCCGUG
rnacentral:rRNA from 1 species